UAAAAGGAGUCUGUACAUCCUUACGUGUCAUACUAAAUGGAUUCAGAUAAACCACUAUUCAAGAUUACCACCACUUUCUAGUUUUUCUGCUUUGGGACAUUUCUGUUUUUUGAGGGGGUUUCUGAGGUUUAUUGAGUGUCCCCAUAUUUGGAAGUCUCCAUACCCUGUUUCAUGUUAUGCCUCUUCUUUUUUCCUUGUUUGUCAGGGUUUGUUUCACUGCUCCCCUUAGACUUUUUCAGAUAGAAAAACAGAAACUGACACAAAGAGGGAAAAGGAACGCCUCUGCAGAGGGGAAACUUCCUUCAUUACAGUGGGUCACCUGCUUGAAUCUGUGUGUCUCCUGCACAUGGCAAGCAGAAGCAUUAUUCAGGUUGGUAGAUGUGUGUCAUCUGGAUAUAUGUCCUUCUUAGAAGAGAUCCUGUUAUCAACACCCAUGUCCAGCAGAGAAGCAAUUACAGAAGCCAGACCUACCACCUUUUGCACUCCAUGAUGAUCCUGGGACCAUACUCCCAGAGGGAUAAAGAACAGGGAACCUUCCAAUGGAGGGGAUGGAAUAUAGCUCUCUGGUGGUGGGAAUUGUAUGGAAUUAUACCCCUCUUAUCCCACAAUCUUGUCAACCAUUAUUAAUCACUAAUAAUAAUAAUAAUAAUGAAGUUGAAAAAUAAGAAAACACAAAGAAGAACUGGGAUUGGGUUUGGUUUAUUGCACCAAGGUAAAAGACUCUGGGGGUAGGGGAGAGGCUUCAGGUCUUGGAACAUGAUGGCAGAGGAAGACCUAGAGGGGGUUGAAUUGUUAUGUGGAAAAGUAAGAAAUGUUACACAUGUACAAACUACUGUAUUUUACUGUUGACUGUAAACCAUUAAUUCCCCCAAUAAAGAAAAAAAAUAUGGCAAAGAAGAGAAAUAAAGAAAGGAAGGAAGGAAGAAAAGAGCCCAUUAUGUAACAAAGACCCCGAGGACAUAUUUUGAACUAUGUAUAGCAUUAUUAAGUUAAUCAGAGUUUUUCAACACUUGCAACAAAAAGACUGCUAACACAGGGCCAUACAGAGAAUAACCCCUAAUUUACUGACCAAUUGACCUGUACAAAUAAGGAGAUUGUAAUACUGAGUGAACUGAAACUCCUUAUUGUUUCCAUAUUUUAAUUCAAAAUGAUCAAGACUUUCUUUGACAUAACAUUCGUUUGUAAGAAAAAAAAGGUGCUACCCACCUUCUCAUCCCAAAUCUUCAUCCAGAGUUCAUUAAAAGAAAUAAAUAGUAUUAAAUAAAAACUUGAAAAAAAA